rnacentral:rRNA from 1 species
UACGGAGGGUGCGAGCGUUAAUCGGAAUUACUGGGCGUAAAGCGCACGCAGGUGGUUGGGUAAGUCGGAUGUGAAAGCCCUGGGCUUAACCCUGGGAAUUGCAUUUCAAACUGGCCGACUAGAGUACGGUAGAGGGAGGUAGAAGUUUCCUGUUGUAGCGGUGAAAUGCGUAGAUAUAGGAAGGAAUACCAGUGGCGAAGGCGGCCUCCUGGAUCCGAUACUGACGCUGAGGCGGACGAAA